CAGACUUGACAUCCUGUCAACCCCUCAGAGACGUGGGGGUGCCUUCGGGAGCACAGAGAC
rnacentral:rRNA from 1 species